rnacentral:rRNA from 1 species
GAUGAACGCUGGCGGCGUGCCUAAUACAUGCAAGUCGAGCGAACAGACGAGGAGCUUGCUCCUCUGACGUUAGCGGCGGACGGGUGAGUAACACGUGGAUAACCUACCUAUAAGACUGGGAUAAUUUCGGGAAACCGGAGCUAAUAACGGCUAAUAUAUUCAACCGCAUGGUUCAAUAGUGAAAGACGCUUUUGCUGUCACUUAUAGAUGGAUCCGCGCCGCAUUAGCUAGUUGGUAAGGUAACGGCUUACCAAGGCGACGAUGCGUAGCCGACCUGAGAGGGUGAUCGGCCACACUGGAACUGAGACACGGUCCAGACUCCUACGGGAGGCAGCAGUAGGGAAUCUUCCGCAAUGGGCGAAAGCCUGACGGAGCAACGCCGCGUGAGUGAUGAAGGUCUUCGGAUCGUAAAACUCUGUUAUUAGGGAAGAACAAAUGUGUAAGUAACUAUGCACGUCUUGACGGUACCUAAUCAGAAAGCCACGGCUAACUACGUG